CCUAGCUCACUAAAAACACCGGUUUUCUUUCGAUCACCGAAGUUAAACAACGUUGAGCUCAGUCAGUACUUGUAUGGAGGGACCACUUGAGAUUACCUGGUAAUGUAA